rnacentral:rRNA from 1 species
AGAGUUUGAUCCUGGCUCAGAUUGAACGCUGGCGGCAUGCCUUACACAUGCAAGUCGAACGGUAACAGGUCUUCGGAUGCUGACGAGUGGCGAACGGGUGAGUAAUACAUCGGAACGUGCCCAGUCGUGGGGGAUAACUACGCGAAAGCGUAGCUAAUACCGCAUACGAUCUAUGGAUGAAAGCGGGGGAUCGCAAGACCUCGCGCGAUUGGAGCGGCCGAUGGCAGAUUAGGUAGUUGGUGGGGUAAAGGCUCACCAAGCCGACGAUCUGUAGCUGGUCUGAGAGGACGACCAGCCACACUGGGACUGAGACACGGCCCAGACUCCUACGGGAGGCAGCAGUGGGGAAUUUUGGACAAUGGGCGCAAGCCUGAUCCAGCCAUGCCGCGUGCAGGAUGAAGGCCUUCGGGUUGUAAACUGCUUUUGUACGGAACGAAAAGUCUCUUUCUAAUAAAGAGGGAUCAUGACGGUACCGUAAGAAUAAGCACCGGCUAACUACGUGCCAGCAGCCGCGGUAAUACGUAGGGUGCAAGCGUUAAUCGGAAUUACUGGGCGUAAAGCGUGCGCAGGCGGUGAUGUAAGACAGUUGUGAAAUCCCCGGGCUCAACCUGGGAACUGCAUCUGUGACUGCAUCGCUGGAGUGCGGCAGAGGGGGAUGGAAUUCCGCGUGUAGCAGUGAAAUGCGUAGAUAUGCGGAGGAACACCGAUGGCGAAGGCAAUCCCCUGGGCCUGCACUGACGCUCAUGCACGAAAGCGUGGGUAGCGAACAGGAUUAGAUACCCUGGUAGUCC